rnacentral:misc_RNA from 1 species
CACCGCUCAAGCCUCCGCGCUUGGUGUUGGGGACUGCGAGGUGCUGCCCUCUGGGCGCAUAUCCUCGCAGCCCUGAAAUGCAGUGGCGGCCCCCAGCGCGGCUUCUCCUUAGCGCAGUAGAGUUUUCACGCUUCGCUUCGGGACGCCUGGGACGCCUGCCGUAAAACGCAGCCGGGACCUCGCGGUCUCGCUACACCCUCUCUAGG